rnacentral:rRNA from 1 species
GCGCGUAAAUUGCCCGAAUCCUGACACAGGGAGGUAGUGACAAGAAAUAACAAUACAGGGCUAUUUUAGUCUUGUAAUUGGAAUGAGUACAAUUUACAUCUCUUCACGAGGAUCAAUUGGAGGGCAAGUCUGGUGCCAGCAGCCGCGGUAAUUCCAGCUCCAAUAGCGUAUAUUAAAGUUGUUGCAGUUAAAACGCUCGUAGUCGGAUUUCGGGGCGUGCCCGCCGGUCUGCCGAUGGGUAUGCACUGGCGGGNGCGUCCUUCCUUCCGGAGACUGGUCCUACUCUUAACUGAGCGGGGUCGGGAGUCGGAUCGUUUACUUUGAAAAAAUCAGAGUGUUUCAAGCAGGCAGCUCGCUCUUGCAUGGAUUAGCAUGGGAUAAUGAAAUAGGACUUUGGUGCUAUUUUGUUGGUUUCGAACACCGAAGUAAUGAUUAACAGGGACAGUCAGGGGCACUCGUAUUCCGCCGAGAGAGGUGAAAUUCUCAGACCAGCGGAAGACGAACCACUGCGAAAGCAUUUGCCAGGGAUGUUUUCACUGAUCAAGAACGAAAGUUAGGGGAUCGAAGACGAUCAGAUACCGUCGUAGUCUUAACCAUAAACCAUGCCGACUAGGGAUCGGCGGAAGUCCUUUUUGACUCCGUCGGCACCUUAUGGGAAACUAUAGUCUUUGGGUUCCGGGGGGAGUAUGGUCGCAAGGCUGAAACUUAAAGGAAUUGACGGAAGGGCACCACCAGGAGUGGAGCCUGCGGCUUAAUUUGACUCAACACGGGGAAACUUACCAGGUCCAGACAUUGUGAGGAUUGACAGAUUGAGAGCUCUUUCUUGAUUCGAUGGGUGGUGGUGCAUGGCCGUUCUUAGUUGGUGGAGUGAUUUGUCWGGUUAAUUCCGUUAACGAACGAGACCUUAGCCUAUUAAAUAGUGGCGCGAACACCUUGUUGGCGGUUCACUUCUUAGAGGGACAACUUGUCUUCAACAAGUGGAAGU